UUCUGCCUUCACCCUCUCUCGUGAAGUUUUUUUGUGUUGUUGUAAGAGUCAAUGAAUUUAUUUUCCAAGGAAUGGCUUCACAUGCCUUUUAUAGGCUUUUAAUGCUAAGUAAAUUGCACAAGGCAGUGCUUACACUAUGAUGAUAUCCUUCAUGGCUAAGUUAGCUUUUAUAAUUAAGAAUAAAAACACUGCUGCAACUCUUUUUGACCAAUAGAAAAUCUUCUUAUCACUUUAAACAAGAGGACAAUUGUGCCUCNNNUUUUCCAUUAAGCUCAUAAAACCUACAAAAAUGUGUUGGAAUUAGGUAGAAAUAACAUAUAUGACUAAUUUUUUAAUUAAAACUAAUAUUUACAAUUAGUUGGGUAAUUUUAUAUGAAAUUACUUUUAAAAUAAGUCAAUAAGUGCCUAAAAUAUAUAUGUAAAAUUACCACUUUUUGGCACUUAUCAA
rnacentral:lncRNA from 1 species